rnacentral:rRNA from 1 species
CACCGCGGUUAUACGAGAGGCCCGAGUUGAUAAGCACCGGCGUAAAGAGUGGUUAAGGACAGAUCAAAACUAAAGCCAAAUGCCUUCAAAGCUGUUAUACGCACCCGAAAGCCAGAGACUCAACCACGAAAGUGACUUUAUAACACCUGAACCCACGAAAGCUAUGAUA